rnacentral:rRNA from 1 species
GACGAACGCUGGCGGCGUGCUAAACACAUGCAAGUCGAACGGAAAGGCCCUGCUUGCAGGGUACUCGAGUGGCGAACGGGUGAGUAACACGUGGGUGAUCUGCCCUGCACUUCGGGAUAAGCCUGGGAAACUGGGUCUAAUACCGUAUAGGAGCCAUUUUUAGUGUGAUGGUUGGAAAGUUUUUUCGGUGUAGGAUGAGCUCGCGGCCUAUCAGCUUGUUGGUGGGGUAAUGGCCUACCAAGGCGGCGACGGGUAGCCGGCCUGAGAGGGUGGACGGCCACAUUGGGACUGAGAUACGGCCCAGACUCCUACGGGAGGCAGCAGUGGGGAAUAUUGCACAAUGGGCGCAAGCCUGAUGCAGCGACGCCGCGUGGGGGAUGACGGCCUUCGGGUUGUAAACUCCUUUCGCUAGGGACGAAGCUUUUUGUGACGGUACCUAGAUAAGAAGCACCGGCUAACUACGUG